AUUGAACGCUGGCGGCAUGCUUUACACAUGCAAGUCGAACGGCAGCAUGACCAAGCUUGCUUGGUUGAUGGCGAGUGGCGAACGGGUGAGUAACACAUCGGAACGUGCCCUGUAGUGGGGGAUAACCUACCGAAAGGUAGGCUAAUACCGCAUACGACCUGAGGGUGAAAGUGGGGGACCGCAAGGCCUCACGCUAUAGGAGCGGCCGAUGGAAGAUUAGCUAGUUGGUGAGGUAAAGGCUCACCAAGGCGACGAUCUUUAGCGGGUCUGAGAGGACGAUCCGCCACACUGGGACUGAGACACGGCCCAGACUCCUACGGGAGGCAGCAGUGGGGAAUUUUGGACAAUGGGGGCAACCCUGAUCCAGCAAUGCCGCGUGAGUGAAGAAGGCCUUCGGGUUGUAAAGCUCUUUUGUUUGGGAAGAAGAAUCUGGUGUUAAUACCACUGGAUGCUGACGGUACCAAAAGAAUAAGCACCGGCUAACUACGUGCCAGCCGCCGCCGUAA
rnacentral:rRNA from 1 species